rnacentral:lncRNA from 1 species
AUGGCGACUUUGAAGAAGAAAUUUUUUUUGGUCAACUGUCCCUACGAAGUAUUUGCCGUUUUCUUGAUAGAAAAGACAACACUGGUAUCCAGGAACAUUGACUAAGAAUAUACAGAGUAUUGAUCAAUUAUCCUCAAGACAAUCACCAGUCGCCAACCCACCUGCAGCUGUUAGAUGUACCCACCCAGGCACCAAACCUUCACAACUGUCCAUCGACUGUGGAGUAUCAUGCCAGUCACAGCAUGGUCACAGGAACCAAAGACACAGGACUCUAUGACCCAGCACCACCCUGGCAGCUUAGACCAGCAUGAUUUGAAAACAGCAGGAUGACUACCCACCCAUUUAGACACCAUGUCUAGACACUCGACUUCUGUCAAGGAAAGUUCUACUGCCUGAAACGCAGCCAGACGUCGCGACAACAUGCUGCCCACUGAACUGUAAGCUACAUGUACUGCCAUUGGAUCUGAUGGGCUUUCCGGUUUGAGUCACAGGAAAUCUGAGACGUGGGACCACAGCCACUGACUCCUAAAACCCAACAAGGAAGCAGUCAGAGAUGCACUGGAGAUCUCUCUUUUCCGGGUUGCCAUUCAACGACAACGAUAUCACUUCAUAGGUGCUCCCUGUCUGCAUUGACUGGAUGGAAUGUGUGAGCCACAGGUAGACCAGCACCAGCAGGAGUCUACAGGAAUUGCUCCAGAAUGACUUCCUCCUCAACAAAUCUCUCCUGCUGGACACAAAACUUGUCUUCAGAGACUGCUCUUUUGAAACAGAACUCCAUGCUUUGAAAACGGAACUCUUUUGAAAAAGGAACUCUCUUGAAGUGAACGACCAUUUUAUGUGAAAGAAGUAGAGGUCUCUCUCUCCAAGAGGUCACUGGAGGUCAUUACAGUUAACCUCUGUGACCUGAGUUGCCUAGGGUAACCACAGUUUUACAGAAGUCUAAACUCUUGAAAAGAACUUGAUAAAAAUCUUCAAUCACAGUAUUCCAUGACGAAUCCACUGUCACCUAUUGACACAGUUUGGAACAAGAUCCCCUGAAUUUUUCUCCUGCAAGAAAUUUAUGUUUUGAUCCAAAAUCCUUCAAAACAAAACAUUUGUUCUUUGUGGAUCCAAAGUUGAUGUCACUCAUUGCUGAGAUCAAAUUGAACUGCAAAAUGGACGAGAGGCCUCUACAUGUUACACGUAACCAGCUUCUUAAUGCAAAACUUUUCAGGCCUUAAAAAUAUAAAUAUCCUUUUUUUUUCUGGUGAAUUGAUUUCCUUAAUUUCAUUCAGUGGCGCCACUUACAUGUACAUGUACUUGCCUGAAACUGCAGCUUAUCACCAAAGCACUCAACAAGCAGAGCCACUGACUAUAUUUACAGCGCUGCAUUUCUUUUUCCUCACCUCGUUUUUCCGAGAGCAUUUACAAAAGAACUGAAAUGUACGUAAUCUUUAAGACAGAUUCACUCAAAACGUAUUCAAACUGAGGAAAACAUUGCCUCCCAAUAAUUUUGAUUAUGCAGCUUUAUGCUUUUAAUAGAGAGAGCUGGUUACGUUAAAUUUAUAUUUUAUCUGAAAUAUUUGUUUAUGGCAUUGCCUGAUUGGUAGUAGCUAGGUGCAAGAUUGGUUUUCCUGGAACAAAAUUUGACACACAAAUGCAAACACAUCUCUUUGAACCAAAUUUUUCUAUAAUUAACACAUUGAGCCCAAAAUCUCUCUUUUGGACUAACAGUUGUUUCGCAUUUAAACCAAAAGCUAUUUGUUUGAGAUUAAAAAAACAAUAUGAAUGUCCUGACAUCAAAAGCGGGAAUUCUCUGUUAACUUUAAAAUGCCCAACAUUGCAAACGAGUACAAAAAUCAACUUUCUGUUAAAUCUCCAAAUUUGUUUCAACCUCUGCAUGGGUUUUUGAUAGCUUUGAUACAUUUCCCAGUUGAUCAUAAUUUAGCAGCUACUAUCAGCAGCACUACCAAUCUUGUACCCAGCUUUUAUUUUAUUAAGAAUAGUCAGCACUGGUCAAAUGUGUAAAGGCAGUGUUUGAAUGAAACAUUUUGUCUAUAUCACACAUUUUCCAAAUUCAUCAAAAUUGAGCAAACCCUAAGUUUACCAUUUCAAACUAAAAACAAAACUUGUAAGAAUAACAAAGUCGCUGUUAUUUGACAGUGUAUUACAGGCAGGUGUUUUUGUGUACACACCUAUGUUGAAUACUUUGAGAAAGCAGUUUUUGUUGGUUCAUUUGACAGGCAAUUUGAAUAACACAUUAAUGUAAAUGAUCAAAACAUUAUCCUAACUUUAAAAAAGAACAGAAAAAAUGUGCUUCCAGUGCUGGCUAUACAAUGUAAAUUCUUUUAUGAUAAUUUAUUGAGUAUCCCAUAUAUACUUGACAUUUUACCAACAGGCAAUGUUCUGAUACACUUGAGCCCAACGCAUGCAAGUCCCCCCGAGGCGUGCACGUGUGGUGUUCCCCGCCCGCAGAUGCCGGCUCGUCUGGUGAGUUGCCCCUAUCUGCAUUGACGAUUGGUCUUUUGUUCAAGGUGUGUGCUUGCUUCCUGAUCUUGUGGUCUGGAUAAUCGUGGAUGACUUGGUCGACUUCAACAUGGUAAGGAUCCUUUUGAACUUUGACAAUUAGUUUGCCUUUCUGCAAAGGAGAUGUCGUUUUGGCCGUUUCUUACUGAGUGUUGCUGUGGAAAUUAUGUACCAUCUAUCAAUCUGGAGACUGCAAAUCUAGAGAUCAAUCGAGCAUCUACUCUUGAUGUCCUGCUUGCAUUUCAAUAGUUCCAUGGCAUCAUGUUGAUCCAAAUGAUCUGCUAACAAAUGGAUACUGUUGUUGGUACCUCUGAUGUUCUUCAAGAUGAUAGGAUUUUUGGACAGGUGUUUCAGCCGCUAUUUAUGUGAAUAACUUCCAUGGUAUAACUCUGAAAUCUCAUUGCCUUUUAUUGUAUUGACAUGUUCAUUCAGUUCUCUCAUUGAGUGUGUUCCAAUCUUAGACAUGCACAGAUAAACAUGGGGAAGUAAUCUCUAAAUGAAAUCAGUACAACUUUACUGAAUCAUAUCGCGCUGUACAUGAUAAGUGAGCUAAAAGUAAAACUGAUGCAUAAAAUUGCACAAGUCAAAAAUUUUCUCUUAAUUCAGCAUCUAAUGCAUCACUAAAAUCCAUAAUUUAAAAAGUUUGUCAUUUUUUGGCAACAACUAUUCUAAAUUUGAUGAAAAAAAGGAACUUUUUGCCAUAUCAAGUAUAAUACUUUUCUAAUUAAAAUAAUUCAAGAUUCUAGUUCUGGUUUGAACCAAAAAAGAAACGAAAUCGAAAAAUGAAAGUCCUGAAUUCAAAGCAACUUAAACUCAUUUUUAAAAACCACUUUGCACUUCAGAAAACAAAUGAGAAAAAUUUUGUCUCAUAAAUAAAUUGGUGAAUGGGCCAGUGCCAUCAUAUUAUCAGAAGAGCAGUUGAAAAAUAAAAUAGAAAUGAAAAGACAUUAUAAAGUCAGAAUGAAAAAGGAUAGAAGGCCAAACUCUUGAAAUUGUAGGGGAGAAGUCCUGGUGUGCAGAGGGGGAGAACCAUGCUGCUUCCUGGCCAGAUGGAAGAUGUGGUGGACAAAAAAGGCCCCCUGCAUCCUAAAGACAGAAGCUGUGGUGUCAGACACAGGGAACCAGUCCUGCCAGAUGGAUCCAUGGUAAGUUUAAUUGAAGUUUUCUAGAAUGAAUUCAUGCACUGUGUACAUCCUCAUUGCUUGCUAAACCUACAGUAGAAUGUGUAUCUCAUGGCUAGGAGUAAACGCUAUCUGUCUGCAUUACAGGAAAACAGUAUUGUGCAUUAUAGUCUUCAGUCUGUGGCAAUACCAAUUAGCGUUAAUCUGACACACAGAAGUGAAAGUUAAGAGUAAUGUAGGUCUGUUAUUUGUCAUUCAGAAUUAAAAUUUGAUCAAGGCAAUUGAUCGAAUGAGUCCUACAGUAAUACAGAGAUGCAACCAGUGCACUGGUGUGCAAACUUCUCACUCAAUCUUUCUGGACUCAGCACUCACUGCAAGUACUCAAAGUGCUGCUACCCAAAUCAUGGUCGAAUGUCGUGACCUCUGCACUCCAAUCCUAUGAUUGGAUAAAACCUUGGGUUUGAGCAAUCACUGCAGCCUCCUAUAGAUUCAUCACCUACCUGAUAGGUGGUUGCAUGGGGGAAUCCCCUGCCAAGUCUCUGUUUAACAGGACCUUUUUGUGAUCAUAAAUUUGUGAUCUCAUUUUUUCAAAUGAGUUCAUUUCUCUGCAGUGAAACCCAAGCAUCCAUGUGUGUUGUGAGCGAUCCUAAACUGCAAUUCCCUUUCAGUGAAGUCUAAACUCUAGGCUUGCAGCAAAAACUGUCUUUCUGAUUACAAAAAAAGUUGAAUUAUUUAUCUAGUUUCCUAGAUUCAAGCGAGAAACCUUUUGAGCAAAGCUCACAUGAGUAAUUUGAGCAGCAUAGUUUUGCUGCGUUCUUUCAGUGUGUUACUGAAACAUUCAUUUUCAUAUGAAAAAAGUUGAAUAUUACUGCCAAGGUGCAGUUGCAAGUGAGAUAUGUGCACUGUUCUCAUAUAGAAGCUAAAACAAAUGUUAUUGCCUCAUACCAACCAAAAAAUCCUAACUGUAUCUCGUUUGUAUACAAAGAAAUAGCCUUUUACAAAAACAAAAAAAGGCAUUUAACGUUUGAACGUGAUCUUGAGAGUCCUGAAAGAUCUUCACCUUAGCUCUAAAUGUUCAGAUUGUCAAUAUUAUUUCAGUUGAUGUAUGUGGACAUUUGUCCGCUGCCUUGUGGAAGAAAAAUGUAAAUAUAGCAGCUGAGAACUCAGCUCAAAGCAAAGUUCACCUGGACUUCAUCUGACUAGUCUCACCAAUUAAGUUAGUACAUACUCUGAAAUUGAGCAUACGUUUUGUACAUGUACAUGUCAAUGUUCAUGUACAACAUGGCCUCAGACAGCUGUAACUGAAUCUUAAUCAGAUGUCAGACCAUUUUAUUAUUUCUUGCUGAGAAGUAAAAUCGAUGAGUAGAUUUUACAAAACUAAAAAAAGUUUGCUCUGAGUUGGACGAGUUUGGUUUCAUUUCUCAUGCAACCAAAUCCGCAAACUGUUCACAAAUCCUUCAAAGAUUUCUGAAACCGAAAGUGAUAUGGAAACAAUUUGUUUUGUAUUGCCAGCAAAAGGAAUGCAAUUGUUCUAUCUGGUAUGACUCGCAACUUUACAAAGUAAAAAUUGCCAAGCCAUUGAUUGUAGCAAGAUGGCUGUCUUAAGUACUGUAAGUAAGAAUGAUUGUGAAAGUAACUUCUAAUACAGUUUCCAAAGGCAUUUGUUUACAAACUUUGAUAACCUUAUUCAGUUUUGACCCCAGCCAAACCGGUAAUGUUAGGAAUAUUGCAUUUUGGCAUGACGGUGUAACCGUUGUGUUUCAUUUUGUCAAAUAAGGUGAAGAUCUUUCAGGACACAUGUUGGUAUUGCCACAGACUGAAGACUAGCUAUGCUCCAUGCUUGAACCCUUUAGUGACCACACUUCUCUCAUUGUGCAUUGCACUUUGCAAUGUGCAUUUUAUGAUGCAAAUAUUGUGAGGCGUCACUUUCCAAAUUCAAACAUUCAAAUUCUCAACUUGUAUCUCAAUGACACUCUGUACCUGUAGUGUUGUACAAUCAGAUUUUUUUAACCAGUCAAUUUUCAUGUGAUGCUGAAAAAAUGUUGAAAAUGUUUGUCCAGUGUGGCUACUGCGGACAAUUCAGUUCUGGUCACCUCAGGCCACUGUGGUCACUAAAGGGUUCAAAACGUCCAAGGUUCUUUAAUUAAUUAUUCAGGUCAGUUUAAGAUCAGUUUUGUCUCAAGAGGCGUUGAUAAAAUGUACAUGUACAUGUAGGAUAGUUUGUUGUGUUGGGACAGUUAAUGUCGUUAAGAAUGCAGGUAUUCUUAGUGCUUUUGGUUAUUGACAGUAGUCAGUAAUUUCAAAAAAUUAUUGAAAAUGUAAACUCCAGGAUAUGUUCUUGUUUCAUGUUAAACCUGAAGACUGUUUCUCAGAAAAUCAUUGAAUAGUUGUGCAGAGUGAAUAGUCAAUAAAACCAGGAGGAAAAAACAAUGAACAUGAAUGUGAUUAAAACAGGUUAAAAUUAGGUCCUCAGGAAAUUUGCAAAAUUGUAUUCUUCUAAAAGUCAACGUUUUUUAACAUUUAACACUUAGUAUUGUUUCCCAUGAACAAGCCAGACCAUUACUCAGAAAAUCAGUGACUAGUUGUGCAGAGCAAAUAGUCAAUAAAACCAGGACAUAAAUUGCGCAUUAAUGUGAUUAAUGAUGACAAAUCAUUGUAGCGUCAAACACUGAUAACCAGGUUAAAUUGGGUAAUAAACAAACUUGCAUAAAUUAAAACAAGUUAAACUGUGAGACACUACACUUUUGUGAGAAACCAGACAGGGCCGAUUUUCGAAGUAAAAAUGCCAGGCACUUGACUUAAGUCUCAGAUUUGAUCUACAUCUUUUCGUGACUCAAUCAGUGAAAGGACUAAUACAUGAAUUAGGAUAUCUUAAUAACUGUAUUAAAAAUGAAAUCAAGUGACUUGCAGUUCUCGGAAAAUAUCAGUGAGUAUGAAAUUGAACUUAGUGCCAUGAUUUCAGUAUAUAUUGUCCUUAGUUAGUAAUAUACUUGGGGUUAUUUUUUUUUAUCUUCACAGGGUCAAUACGUACAACCCCCAAAUUAAGUCCAUACUUGUAUUCUCAAAAUAAAUGAACCUUAUUUCUAGAAAAGUUGGAUAGGCAAAAGACAUGUUUUUUUAUGGACAUGUUUGCAGACAGGAAAAGUUGCAAAAUUCAUAAUUUCUCUAGGGUACAUGUAGGUUCAAUCAAAAAAAAUCUCAAAUUGUAUACAUGUUCAUGUCAAAGGUUUGAAGUUAAUGUUCUGUCUUGUCUUAAAAGGUGGUUAUAGGCAGGCCCCAGAAUAAACCUUGAAUACAAAAUUGGCAGUUUCGGUGAUCAGAUAUCUAGAAUAACAGAUACAUGUACAUGGAACAGAUACAUGGAAGAACUUUGCUGUUGCAGUUCUGCUUUUCCAGUGGAAUUACUUUAGACCGUACUUACAAUUUACAAAGAAAGCAAAAUUUCCUAAAAACAAAUCUGAGAAAACAAACUCGUUUGUUAAGUCAUCAGUGUCUCACUGCAAUUCUGUGCCACAUAUUCAAGGUGUCGUACCGUCGUUGAAUGUUUGACUUGAAAAAUAAAGUCAGACUUGCCAGGACAGAAGGCAAAAAGAACAGUGCAAAAAGACUGUGGAAAAAGUCAAUUCACUACUUAAUGUUUCAAAGAAAAUGGGGGAAAAAAGCUUAGAGAUGUGUAGAUAGCCUGCACAAUGUAUACAGGCCGGCCCCUUGAAAUACUCUCAUAUUGAGUUUAUACAUGUACAUGUAGGCAAUGUCAUGUGUACAUGUACAUGUACAGUCUCUGCAAAUGCUGCAGGUACAUGCAAAUGAUUUACAUGAAGAAAUUGAAUGAUUGAUCUUUUCGAAAUUGAAAACUAAGAUUGGAGUAAUAUGAUCCAUUCCUUGGUGGUGAUGAAACCAAGAAAAUGUCUUGUCCUGUAUAAAAUAAUGUACAUGUAGGCCUACACUUAUAAAUGGUGUGGAAAUUAAAGGUAGGGUCUGAUUAUGUCGUGUUGACUAUGUCGUGAAUCCAUCAUCAUCUAAGAAACUGCCAUUUAUUCAUUUGUCCUGGGGCCUGCCUAGGUUUGCAUGUGAGCAUAAAUGUGCAAUAUCUGUUGUAAUGUAGGCAUGUAGCAGUAUGUUUACUCUGAAAUGCCAUGAUACACAUUUAGGUUUAGCGAGCAAAACAGAUGAGGAUGUAUGUUGUCGUUGUACAGUGCAUGAAUUAAUGAAAACUUCAAUUAAACUUGACCAUGGAUGGCGGGACAAGACUGUCCCUGUGUCAUGAUGCCACAGCUUCUGAGGAUGCUGAGGGGCAGAUUGCCACCACAUCAACAGUGGCGUAGCUAGAAUGAAGGAGGGGCCACAA